CUAAUUAAGUGUGCUGUGAUUUAAGCACCUUACUCUGUAACAGCUGGAAUCCCAUUCAUAACUGAGUAAAAAUAAAAAAUAAAAAUUAAUUAAUGCUGAGAUGGUGGCGAUCAGCUGCAGCAAACCCUAAAUACAGAAGCCGACAGAACAAAUUUGGAAAUGUAUGUACCUCCAAAAUAUUCUUAAUGUUAUUUGCUGACAAAUUUUAUUUUGUGUUGCAUUUUCAUUUAUAAAGGUGGAGUUUUAGUUAAAAACAGUUUGGGAGCAAUAUCUCCUCUUUUCCUUUAUGUACGAAAUAUACGAGUUCAGGGUUCAGGAUGUGUGGCAGUUCUCUCUGUCUUCCUGGAGCUACAGGUUCACCUGGUGGGCGGUGCUGCAGGGCCUCUCACACGUGUGCCUAAUCACACUCACUCCUGGAGCUUAAAAGAAGCUGGCUGCCAGUCAUUCAACGCCUGAGAGUCAACCUUAACGGUUACUGCUCAAGUUCCUGCCAGGGAUCUUUUCCUGGUCACACGUGUCUGUCGUUCCACAAACAUUUCAUCCAGAGACCACACAGCUGUCAGUUCCCAUGACCGGCUUCUCAAGGCUUCUCUCCUGGCUUUGCUCAGUUUGGGUUAGUCACCUGUACGCCGGCCUAUUACAGACGCUUACUGCCAACACCCUGGACCUUGCCACAGAUCUACCCUCUUUGCCCAAUUACCUUGGAUCCACAAUGUCUCCUGGGAUUAUCUGCAUGUGGGUCCGAAAACUGCCUAAGACUAUGACAGAGAGGGACUUUCUUCUGCUUUUAAAAGGGCAACUAAGUAACUUUUAAUUCAAUUAACAUUUGAAUGACGUACUUUUUUACUUUUGUUUGAAUAACAUUUUACACUGGUAACUUUAAUUGUAUUUUAGUAAAAUCUUAUCAAAGUAACUGUACCUUUACUUGAGUACAUUAUUUUUGUAUUCUUACCACCUCUGAAAGCCAGAUGUACUAAAGACG